rnacentral:rRNA from 1 species
GAUGAACGCUGGCGGCGUGCCUAAUACAUGCAAGUCGAGCGAAUGGAUUAAGAGCUUGCUCUUAUGAAGUUAGCGGCGGACGGGUGAGUAACACGUGGGUAACCUGCCCAUAAGACUGGGAUAACUCCGGGAAACCGGGGCUAAUACCGGAUAACAUUUUGAACCGCAUGGUUCGACAUUGAAAGGCGGCUUCGGCUGUCACUUAUGGAUGGACCCGCGUCGCAUUAGCUAGUUGGUGAGGUAACGGCUCACCAAGGCAACGAUGCGUAGCCGACCUGAGAGGGUGAUCGGCCACACUGGGACUGAGACACGGCCCAGACUCCUACGGGAGGCAGCAGUAGGGAAUCUUCCGCAAUGGACGAAAGUCUGACGGAGCAACGCCGCGUGAGUGAUGAAGGCUUUCGGGUCGUAAAACUCUGUUGUUAGGGAAGAACAAGUGCUAGUUGAAUAAGCUGGCACCUUGACGGUACCUAACCAGAAAGCCACGGCCAACUACGUGCCAGCCGCCGCGGUAA